ensembl:lncRNA
GCUACAUACAGGUGCAAAGAAAAGAGUACAAUUAAUCUGUAAUCUCAUCAUCCAUCCAUAACCACUGUUCAUAGGUGGUGGUUUAGUCAUUAAACUGUAUCCAACUCUUGUGACCCCAUGGAUGACAGCCCACCAGGCAAGAAUACUGGAGUGGGUUGCCAUUUCCUUCUCCAGGGGAUCUUCCCCACCCAGGGUUCAAACCUGUGGCUCUUGCAUCUCCUGCUUUGGCAGGCAAGAUUAUUUACCAACAAGUCACCAGGAAAGCCAGCUAGUGUUCAUAGAGUACAGUGUAAUUCUUUUUUUCUAUCCAUAUCCUUAGAUACAGGUCCUGUAUUUUGGAGAUAGAUGAAUUUACUACAAAUUAGCAAUGGCACCCCACUCCAGUACUCUUGCCUGGAAAGUCCCAUGGACCGAGGAGCCUGGUGGGCUGCAAUCCAUGGGGUCACGAAGAGUCGGACACGACUGAGCGACUUCCCUUUCACUUUUUACUUUCGUGCAUUGGAGAAGGAAAUGGCAGCCCACUCCAGUGUUCUUGCCUGGAGAAUCCCAGGGAUGGCGGAGCCUGGUGGGCUGCCGUCUAUGGGGUCGCACAGAGUCGGACACGACUGAAACAGCUUAGCAGCAGUAGCAGCAGCAGCAUUUCUCUUGAGAACUAUUGAUUCUAGAUGCUCUAAGGAAACGAGUCAAGCUAGGUAUUUUUUGGAAGAAGAGAGUUGGGAAGAAGUAAAAUAAUGCCUUUGAAAAGCCACAUAAGGGCCUAAUUUAAUACCACUUGACUAUUCCCCUCACUCCACUCGUGGAUCUCUUAGAACUACAUUCUGUUAAUUAGUAUGUCAAGAUUUUCAGCAGAUGUUCCUGAUGAGGUAAUUAGGUUACAUCCCACUGUCUGUGAGACAGCUAGGCCAGAGCAUCUGGGUUUUGUGGAUGGAAACAGCAGCGGCAUGCAGAGAACAUGUUGUAGGAAAUUGGUGUCAUUGGAGGAUUCAUCAGCUGAGCCACCAGGGAGACCCUGGUUCUAUUCCUGGGCCGGGAAGAUCCCCUGGAGAAGGGAUACAUAACCCACUCCAGUAUUCCUGGGCUUCCCUGGGGGCUCAGAUGGUAAAGAAUCCAACAUCUGCAAUGCAGGAGACUUGCGUUCAAUCCCUGAGUUGGGAAGAUCCCCUGGAAGAGUGGUAAAGAACCCACCUGCCAAAGCAAGAGCCCUAAGAUAUGCAGGUAUUCUUGCCUGGAGAAUCCCACGGUCAGAGGAGCCUGGUGGGCUACAGCCCAUGGGUUCACAAAGAGUAGGACACAACCGAAGCACAGCACAGCAGGAUCUUUUACAUACUGUAUCCCAAGCCUGAUUUUAUCCCCCAAUUAAUUUACUUAGGUCCUUUUUCCAAGAGCUGAGCCACUUUUACAGCAUUCUAGGCCCAGGCUCUUUACACUAACUUCUCUGGCUUGUUUCAGAAUAGAGUUGGCUCUCAAUGUGCCACGGAAUGUUUACAGUGAUGACAAGGGGGUAGGGGUGGGGUACUCUGAGAAGAGCCUGGGGUUAAAAAGGUUUCCUUCCUCCUGCGACUGUCUUUGACUAGAACUCCAAACAUCUGUCCCCAGAGACCUCCCACUUCCCCCAACCGCCAACAGUAAGGAAGGGGUUAGAGAAAGGCUUUGUUCCCGGGGCUCCGCUCAAGUUCUCUGGUUCCCUGGGCAAAACACUCCUGCCUAAACUUUCCAUCCAGGGCUUUGCCGCGAACCCAAAUUCUACAGGCCCAAGGCCUGGUGCGCAGCCUCCACUAGCCAGGGGAGACGAGGCCGUCGGAUGAGGUCCCAUUGAUCAGCCCCAAACCGUAAAGCCACCCCACUACACGGAAGCCCCUCUUCUUUUUGCUAGGACCUGGGUUCCACCCUAUUUUGGGGGCGCGCAUCUCCCCCCAGACUUGGCGGGACGGAAGCACCAUUCCCACCCCUAUCAUCUCCAUUUGGAUUCACCCUUUCCGUUGGCCACUCCCUGCUCCAGGCUGGUAUUUGGUCUCGUCCUUCUCCGCCGCCUUCCUCCCAGUUUACCUUCUCGGCUGGUGAGACCUAGACCGCGAGCUUCAUUCUCGCCAGACCCCGAACCCAGGCGCGUCUCCAGAGCCUUCCUGAGCCAAGUUGCUCUUCCGGUGACCGGUUAGGCGCAGAGCUGGGCUGGUCUCCAUGUCAUGGAGACACUCCGGGGGUGCAGCUAAGACCUCCUGCCGCCAGUCAACUCCAACUUCCCAGCCAUGUGAAUCAGCUACCUUGACAGUGGACAUUCCAGCUCCUCUCAAGCCCUCAGCUGAAUACAGCC